GAUGAAGAACGCAGCGAAAUGCGAUAAGUAAUGUGAAUUGCAGAAUUCAGUGAAUCAUCGAGUCUUUGAACGCACAUUGCGCCCCCCGGUAUUCCGGGGGGCAUGCCUGUCCGAGCGUCAUUGCUGCCCUCAAGCACGGCUUGUGUGUUGGGCCUCCGUCCUCCUCCCGGGGGACGGGCCCGAAAGGCAGCGGCGGCACCGCGUCCGGUCCUCGAGCGUAUGGGGCUUCGUCACCCGCUCUUGUAGGCCCGGCCGGCGCUUGCCGACACAUCAAUCUUUUUUCCAGGUUGACCUCGGAUCAGGUAGGGAUACCCGCUGAACUUAAGCAUAUCAAUAAGCGGAGGA
rnacentral:misc_RNA from 1 species